rnacentral:rRNA from 1 species
GAUGAACGCUGGCGGCGUGCCUAACACAUGCAAGUCGAGCGGAGAAUUGUUGCUUGCAACAAUUCUUAGCGGCGGACGGGUGAGUAACACGUGGGUAAUCUGCCCUAAACAAAGGGAUAACAAUGGGAAAUCAUUGCUAAUACCGUAUAAGCUUACACUAUCGCAUGAUAGAGUAAGAAAAGAUUUAUCGGUUUAGGAGGGGCCCGCGUCUGAUUAGCUAGUUGGAGAGGUAACGGCUCACCAAGGCGACGAUCAGUAGCCGACCUGAGAGGGUGAUCGGCCACAUUGGGACUGAGACACGGCCCAAACUCCUACGGGAGGCAGCAGUGGGGAAUAUUGCACAAUGGAGGAAACUCUGAUGCAGCAACGCCGCGUGAAGGAAGAAGGUUUUCGGAUCGUAAACUUCUAUCUACAGGGAAGAAAAAAAUGACGGUACCUGAGUAAGAAGCCCCGGCUAACUACGUG